rnacentral:rRNA from 1 species
UAUGUGGCAUACGGCUCAGUAACACGUAGUCAACAUGCCCAGGGGACGUGGAUAACCUCGGGAAACUGAGGAUAAACCGCGAUAGGUCAUCACUUCUGGAAUGGGUAAUGACUUAAAUCUAUAUGGCCCCUGGAUUGGACUGCGGCCGAUCAGGCUGUUGGUGAGGUAAUGGCCCACCAAACCUGUAACCGGUACGGGCUCUGAGAGGAGGAGCCCGGAGAUGGGCACUGAGACAAGGGCCCAGGCCCUAUGGGGCGCAGCAGGCGCGAAACCUCUGCAAUAGGCGAAAGCUUGACAGGGUUACUCUGAGUGAUUUCCGUUAAGGAGAUCUUUUGGCACCUCUAAAAAUGGUGCAGAAUAAGGGGUGGGCAAGUCUGGUGUCAGCCGCCGCGGUAAUACCAGCACCCCGAGUGGUCGGGACGUUUAUUGGGCCUAAAGCAUCCGUAGCCGGUUCUACAAGUCUUCCGUUAAAUCCACCUGCUUAACAGAUGGGCUGCGGAAGAUACUAUAGAGCUAGGAGGCGGGAGAGGCAAGCGGUACUCGAUGGGUAGGGGUAAAAUCCGUUGAUCCAUUGAAGACCACCAGUGGCGAAGGCGGCUUGCCAGAACGCGCUCGACGGUGAGGGAUGAAAGCUGGGGGAGCAAACCGGAUUAGAUACCCGGGUAGUCCCAGCUGUAAACGAUGCACACUCGGUGAUGAGUUGGCUUAUUGCUAACUCAGUGCCGCAGGGAAGCCGUUAAGUUUGCCGCCUGGGGAGUACGGUCGCAAGACUGAA